rnacentral:tmRNA from 1 species
GGGGCUGAUUCUGGAUUCGACGGGAUUAUGAAGCCUUAGGAGCAUGCCGAGGGGCGGUUUGCCUCGUAAAAAGCCGCAAAAAAAAUAGUCGCAAACGACGACCAAUUAGCACCUGCUGCUUUCGCAGCUUAAUCAGCCUAAGAAACUGAAGGUGUCCUCUCUCCCCAGCCUCCGCUCUUAGGACGGGGAUAAAGAGAGGUCAAACCCAAAAGAGAUCGCGUGGAUAUCCUGCCUGGGGUUGAAGCGUUAAAUCCAAUCAGGCUAGUUUGUCAGUGGCGUGUCCGUCCGCAGCUGGCAGGCGAAUGUAAAGACAGGACUAAGCAUGUAGUGCCAACGGUGUAUUAAUUUCGGACGCGGGUUCAACUCCCGCCAGCUCCACCA